CAGCAGAGAUGGUUGUAUCUGCUGGCUUUUUCUGAGGAGUUGUUGCUUCAUUGACUUGGAUGACAUUGGACUUGCUGUCAUCUAGAUGCAACCCACUGAAACGCUUUUUACCCCGAGGUAGAGCUCUGUGUGGCUCCUUCGACCUAGAAAAGAACAACCAAGAUAAUAUCAAUUCUUUUGUUGUCACGAUUUCACUAUUCACACUUGACACCAUGCCAUCUAGUAUGGAAAGAGUUAAAAGGUUAGAAUAAUUGUGAGAUGACAAGUGUUUGGAUGUACCAGCACACCCUGUUAGACAAUGACCUCACCUGUCUUCCACUACACAAUCAGCUGCCACAUCUACAGGCUCAAAGUCACUCCCCAAGUCUUCAGUCUUGACCUCUUCCAUAGUUUCACUGCUUUUGCUAUCACUCACAUGGAACCAAUCAUCUUGAGCUGAUGAGACAAUAGAAAUAGACCUGGAGAGCUCUUGAACAUCUUCAGUGUCCCCCAGCAGCACUGCUUGAGAAUCUGUUGUUAUGCCUUGCUUAUCUGUAAAUGUCCAACUUCGGAUCAUCUCCUCUUCUGUAUCCUCUAUACUACAUGUCUGGAUAAACUCAAUAUCGGACACGACUUCAUCCUCCCUUGCAAUUUCAGAACCUAUAUCAGAAAUUAUGCUGGACUCGCAAGAAACUGGACCUUCAGAGGUUUCUUUGCUAAUUUGCAACGCAGCAUCCAUGUUAGCUGGUCCAGCAUCUGUUGACUUUUCCUGUUCUGUGCUGCUGUCGACAAAAGAUGCACUUAGACGUUUCUUCUUUUCCCGUGGCAUUGGGACUGGUAAGGUAAACUUCUGGACCUGAUGCAGAGUUUCAUUCUUUGUCUGAAAAGUUAAAGUUUCAUCAGAUUUUGAUGCAGGCAUGCUCAACUGAUCACCAUGUUGAUUACUCUCAGAGCAAGUACUAUCUGUCACUGCUUGUGAGGUUUCAUCUGGGAAUGAAGCGCUGAAGCGUUUCUUUGAUCUUGGUUUAGGUACAGGAAUUAAGCUUGAAGGAUCUUGUUUAUUCUGUAACUGUACAGUGGGUGUCUCUGAUGUACCAGUGGGGGUAGAAUCCUCUAUAGAAAGAGCUGUUGUACUGUUGUCCAUACUUGACAUUUCUUGGGAUUUUUGGACUAGUUCUCCUUGUAUUGUUGACUCUGUAACUUUUAAGUCAUCAGGGAAGGAUCCACUUGAACGUUUCUUUAUUCUUGGCUGUGGGACAGGUAAUGUCUGCUUAAUCAC
ensembl:lncRNA